UCCUUGGUGGUCCAGUGGUUAGGACUUGGUGCUCUCACUGUCGAGGCCCCAGGUUCAAUCCCUGGUCGGGGAA